GACGAACGCUGGCGGCGUGCCUAAUACAUGCAAGUAGAACGCUGAAGAGAGGAGCUUGCUCUUCUUGGAUGAGUUGCGAACGGGUGAGUAACGCGUAGGUAACCUGCCUGGUAGCGGGGGAUAACUAUUGGAAACGAUAGCUAAUACCGCAUGAAAUGGAUUAUCGCAUGAUAAUUCAUUGAAAGGUGCAAAUGCAUCACUACCAGAUGGACCUGCGUUGUAUUAGCUAGUUGGUGGGGUAACGGCUCACCAAGGCGACGAUACAUAGCCGACCUGAGAGGGUGAUCGGCCACACUGGGACUGAGACACGGCCCAGACUCCUACGGGAGGCAGCAGUAGGGAAUCUUCGGCAAUGGACGGAAGUCUGACCGAGCAACGCCGCGUGAGUGAAGAAGGUUUUCGGAUCGUAAAGCUCUGUUGUAAGAGAAGAACGAGUGUGAGAGUGGAAAGUUCACACUGUGACGGUAUCUACCAG
rnacentral:rRNA from 1 species